rnacentral:tRNA from 1 species
UCCAAUGUGGUGUAGGGGUUUGAGCAUUGGACUACCACUCUGGAGGCCAGGGUUCAAAUCCCUGCUUGGCCA